rnacentral:rRNA from 1 species
UACAGAGGUCUCAAGCGUUGUUCGGAUUCAUUGGGCGUAAAGGGUGCGUAGGUGGCGCCGUAAGUCGGGUGUGAAAUUUCGGAGCUUAACUCCGAAACUGCAUUCGAUACUGCGGUGCUUGAGGACUGGAGAGGAGACUGGAAAUUCAUGGUGUAGCAGUGAAAAUGCGUAGAGAUCAUGAGGAAGACCAGUGGCGAAGGCGGGUCUCUGGACAGUUCCUGACACUGAGGCAACGAAGGCCCAGGGGGAGCAAAACGGGG